rnacentral:rRNA from 1 species
GAUGAACGCUAGCGGCAGGCCUAAUACAUGCAAGCCGAACGGCAAGUCUGAUAGCAAUUUUGGAUCUAGAGUGGCGCAAGGGUGCGUAACACGUAUGCAACCUGCCCGCGACAGGAGGGUAGCUCCCCGAAAGGGGAAUUAACCCUCCAUAACACCAUGAGAAGGCGUCUGAUUAUGGUUAAUCCGCAAGGGGUCGCGGAUGGGCAUGCGGUUGAUUAGCUAGUUGGCGGGGUAAAGGCCGACCAAGGCGGUGACCAAUAGGGGGUGUGUGAGGAAGGUCACCGACACUGGGACAGGGAUACGGGUCAGACUGGUACGGGAGGCAGGGGUAGGUAAUAUAGGACAAUGGUUGCAAGACAGCCACAGCCAUGCCGCGUGGAAGAAGAAGGCGUUCUAAGGCGUAAUCUGCUUUUUAGAGUAGAUAAAAGACCCGAGCGCGGUGAAUUGAAGGUAACAAGAGAAUAAGCCACGGCUAACUACGUG